GUGCCUUUUAAGGUAGACACAGUUUUUUAAGAGGCUAACACAGAAGGGUAAAGUAAGUCUCCAUAAAACCCAGUGAAGAGACAGAAGAGACUGUGAAACUCCUCUUUGGACCCCCAUCUGGAGUCAUAGCA
rnacentral:snoRNA from 1 species